AAUGCCCCCUUUCAGUGAACCAACUCUAUCCUGUUUAAUGAAAUUCAAAUUACAGUGAAUAAAAAAAAUUAAAAAAAAAAUUCAGGUCACUUUCAAGAGGCGGCGCCGCGUGGCCUCGGCGCCUUGUCCCCUCUUGGCUUCGGGGCGGCCGCCUCUUUGAAGUCGCCUCGCCUUGGCCUGGGGAGUUGCAGCAUGCUCGCCUCGCCUCGCCUCUCAACUCGCCUGGCGCCUCUUCUCGCCUCUUACAACACUGAGAUAUCCUCAUUUCCAGAAAACUGAAAUUGAGAAACUAGUGUCUGAGAUCCUUGACAGUGGGGUGAUUCAACAUAGUAAUAGCUCUUAUGCUUCCCCUGUUUUAUUAGUUAAGGAAAAAAGAUGGGUCUUGGAGGUUUUGUGCGGAUUAUAGGAAGCUGAAUGAUGCUACUGUUAAAAAUAAAUUUCCAAUUCCUAUUAUUGAGGAUCUAUUGGAUGAAUUGCAUGGGGCAACAGUCUUUUCCAAGAUAGACCUUGGAGCUGGCUACCAUCAUAUUAGGAUGGACACUCCAGAUAUUCUGAAGACUGCUUUCAAAACACAUAAUGGGCACUUUGAGUUUACAGUCAUGCUCUUUGGACUUACAAAUGCACCAGC
rnacentral:misc_RNA from 1 species